CCUACGGAAAGAGCUCAGAACUCAUACUGACCGAUCUUCAUGUAGGAUUGAGACACAUCACACACCAGGAAAGCGAGGUCACAACCCCAUGAGUUACAUCCCCCACAUAUUUACUUCUAGGUGAACAGAGGCUACACAUUAAGAGGCUUGCCGAUUUGCCUCGCCGCUCCCGGGACUCGAACCCAGGCCUUCUUGGUUAUGAGCCGAAUGUGCUAACCACUACACUACGAGGUGUGUGUUGGGGGGGCGUAUCACAACCUUGCUUUCGGAGGAUUCAUAUCAUAAUUGUGACUGAUAGAAUCGUUGAUCUCUUCACAAUAGAAAAAUGAGCUUUACCAUCACCGGUAACUGAUAUAUCAGUCAUCUCAGGUAUAAACUAAACAAAUAUUUAAUGAUAUUCAUAUACUUUUGUAUUACCCGACACACCAUGAAAGCAUUCGUCUGCAUCUCUCUCUCUCUCUCUCUCUCUCUCUCUCUCUCUCUCUCUCUCUCUCUCUCUCCAGUCUUUGUAACAUUAUGGGACUUACUCCCAGGCAUUUGUUUGGCAUAUAAAAAUAUGCUUGUCACCUACAGUCCGCACAUGUGGUGUGCACUGCAAUGAGUGGAGCGCCUGUAAAGUUAUCCCAGAUUAGCGAAGCAGUGAAUCCUCAGCAAUUACCGUUUCCCUGCAUCUGCAACAAACACAGGGACCAACACAAGGGAUUACUAAUGCACUUUACGUUUUAGUAUGCAUAUAGAUAUCAUGAUAUGUAUCCAACUUGCUGUGUUGCAGUAUUAGUUCCUGACUCGGUGAGACGAUUCAGAACCAUCUUGUUUGCUUUAAUCGACACACACUUAGCUCGUCGCUACCUCUUCAUUCUCCACCGACACGGCACAGGAGCUGCACCGCCCAUGCCACCACCCCUGCUCUUGCCAUACCCCGCCUGCUGAAGGACGCCUCACUGACGUGCUGCUCUGGUGGCGUGGCGUCGAGGGAAGCGCCUCUCUGUAUCCCAGUCCACCACUUUACUGAACAUGUGAAUGUACUCCAGAGUUUCAAAAAGGAAGUGGCACACACACACUUUGCUGCACUCCAGGCUUUGGAGGUCCAGCGGCACCCUGCACACUGCUUUCAUAAACGUGUGUGCAGAGUGCAAGACUGAGAGGAGCAAGGAUGGAGGAUGCUUCAAGACAGAGAGGGACAAGGAUGGAGAAUGCUUCAACAUUCACAGCAUCAUUGGUUCAGGCUUUCUUGUUUUGUGGAAAGUAAUGCACACAGUUUUGACGGAAGGAUUGUAUUUCAUCACUCAUAUUGAUAGAUUGUGUCAUUGUGUUGACCAUUGUGCAUCAAGUAACUUCAUUACAUGUCAGUUAUACAUUUAGCUACCAGGAGUAACAAUUUUUGAGAUCUGUAAUGUAUAAAAAGUGACUAAGAGAUCUUGCAUUAUGAAGAUUUGUUUAAAGGUGUUUGUUUAUUAGCUUGAUCUAGUUGUGCCAGUCUUAACAGUCCAUAUUGUACAGAUAUAACUAUUGGCCAUUGCUCUUCCUGCAGAUGGAAUUUCAGUCAGCACUGCAAGGUGUGUGUGUUUCACUGUUUGAUCUGCUGCAGUCUCUGACGAGACAGCCAGACAUUACCCUACGGAACGAGCUCAGAGCUCAUUAUUUCCGAUCUUCGGAUAGGCCUGA